rnacentral:rRNA from 1 species
UCCUACGGGGGGCAGCAGUGAGGAAUAUUGGUCAAUGGGCGGAAGCCUGAACCAGCCAAGUCGCGUGAGGGAAUAAGGCCCUACGGGUCGUAAACCUCUUUUGCCGGGGAGCAAGGGCGGGGACGUGUCCCGGCCCGGAGAGUACCCGGAGAAAAAGCAUCGGCUAACUACGUGCCAGCAGCCGCGGUAAUACGUAGGUGGCAAGCGUUGUCCGGAUUUACUGGGUGUAAAGGGCGUGCAGCCGGAGAGACAAGUCAGAUGUGAAAUCCACGGGCUCAACCCGUGAACUGCAUUUGAAACUGUUU